GAACAACUUUCUAUUUAGCAUUCUCUUAUGUUGUAAUUAAGAUCACAGGGAGCUCUGUAAUAUGCAGGCAUGGUCGAAGGGAAGAACAUCUGACGUACUCCUUCCGCUUUUAUGAUCGGAAAUAUGAUUCCAGAUGCACCCUGCAUCAUUUUAAUGGUAUGCCAAUUUUUAGAUUUUAGAUUUCAAUUUUAUUAAAAGGGAAAUCUCUGAUAAAAUCCUAAUAUUUUAGGUCAAUUUACGAUUUAGUCCCAAAUUAAAUUUUGUUUACAAAAAUAGACAGAUUACCGGCUAAAACUUCGGAAUAACCCUUCGUGGCCGGUUUCACAGAUUUAGCCGAUAUCUCGUCUUUUUUCGUUAAUUAAUCCAAAUUUUGGGGCUUUUUCAUUAAUUAAUCAAAAUUUUAGGGCUUUUUCAUUAUUUAUUACCAAUAAACCAAAAUAUUUGGACUUUUCUGAAGACUACCUUUAAACUAAUAUAUAUUAUAUGAUCUAACUUAAUAUGUACCAUUCCCUGUCUUCUUUCUUACGCUCUUCUAGGCGCACCGUAUGUUUUUAUUGUCGUCGUCAAACCCAACAACAAAAAUCUCACUCACAAGCAUUGUUAACUCCAUCGAUUUUCCAAAAUCAUCCAUUCAUAACUCUACGAUCAUCUUUCAAUCUCCAAAUGAAGAAAUGAGAAAAUCAUUGUUGAUUAUGUGGAUGCCCCUAUUACCUAACCAUGACUUAAACCAUGGUUCCAAUACUCAGAUGUUCCUAUUACCUAACCAUGACCUGAAUCCUAUUUCGAACCCAUACACUAUUCGUAUUGUCCAUAGUGUUGUUCACAACAAAAUACGAAUCCCACAUGGUUUAACCACUGAUACCUUGGCUCAAGUCUUACAUGACCCUUGUUUCCUUACAAUAGGGCUUGAAAACCAUGAAGAAUGAACCAUUAAGCUUAAAAAACUCAACAUAGGUAAAAAAAAAAUCAACUCGAUAUUAUGUACUGAAAACCAUGAAGAAUGUUAACUCUAAUUGUUAAAAAAAAAAGUCAGCAAGCUAUCCAUCAUAAACUAUUAAAAAUAUUAAUUUGGUAUUCCUACGAGCUACGGUUCCAACACUUGGAUGUUCCUAUAACCUAACCAUGACUCAAACCUUAUUUCGAACCCAUACACUAAGGCAUUGACCAUAGUUUUGUUAACAAGAAAAAUUGAAUCCCACAUGGUUUAACCACUGAUACCUUGGCUCAAGUCUUACUUGACCCUUGUUUCCUUACAAUAUGUGUAACAUCCCAACUCUCAGGUAUAAUAUUUAAUUAAUUUAUAUUCUUGUUGUCUGAUAAACUUGACGAGUUGAAGGCCCCAACUUGCCGAGUAGAGAGUGUUAAUGGUCGCGUAAUUUCUAGAGUCUACUCGACGAGUUGGAGGAUCCCAACUCGACGAGUAGGAGCUAAGUGUGAAAACCCUAAUUUUCAGGGUUUGUGUCCUAUUUAAAGGACAUUAAGCCUUCAUUUUCGCCUCCCUUAUCAUCUUAACACUCUAAGAGAAACCCUAAUCGAGCUAUAUGCUUGUAGGAGAGAAAGAGGGGCUAAUAUUGCAUAUUGUAGUGCAUUUUUGGAAGAAGAUUGAGGAGAAAAAGGCUUGGGACGAGAAGGAGCUCUUGGAUCCAAUGUUCUUUCAUUGCUAGCUUUUGUUUGAAGGUACUUCUCAGGAUCGCGGGAAGGCGGCAGCUUGAUUGUACACAUCAGUUAGAAAUCAUGAUUUGAGGAUUCUAGGAUUUUAUUAAACAUUCGUUGACUUAUGUUUUGACAAUUUAUAUAUUUUGUGGUUUUUGGAAAAUGUGAUUUUAAAAAUGAAAAAUUUAUUUGGAA